GGGACACGCUCCUCAAGGCUGACACCCACCACUAUGCAGUGGGUCUGCUGGCCAGGGAGCUGUGCCGUGUCUCCCGCUCCUUCUGCCGCAGCAUCGCCGUCAGCCUGCUCCCGCGGCUCAGCAGGGAAGAGCCCCUGUGGGAACUGCCUGCCCUGGCGUUCCUGGUGGAGGUCCUGCACUGCCUGAACCCCAGACAAUGUGGGCUCAGCGUCCUGCAGAUUAUUUCAAGGCACCUGUGGAGUGAGUGCCCCGAGAGGCGUCGCCUGGCGCUCCGAGGCCUGCUGGUGAUCAGCAAGGCUCCCGCACUGGCUAAGAGCAUCUGGAGCCUGAAUGAAAGCCUCCUGGAGCUACUGCAGGAUGCAGACAGAGA